GAUGAACGCUAGCGGCAGGCCUAAUACAUGCAAGUCGAGGGGUAGAAGAGGCUUGCUUCUUUGAGACCGGCGCACGGGUGCGUAACGCGUAUGCAACCUACCUUCAUCUGGGGGAUAGCCCGGAGAAAUCCGGAUUAAUACCGCAUAAAAUCACAGGAUGGCAUUAUCCAAUGAUCAAACAUUUAUGGGAUGGAGAUGGGCAUGCGUGUCAUUAGCUAGUUGGCGGGGUGACGGCCCACCAAGGCGACGAUGACUAGGGGAUCUGAGAGGAUGGCCCCCCACACUGGUACUGGGACACGGACCAGACUCCUACGGGAGGCAGCAGUAAGGAAUAUUGGUCAAUGGAGGCAACUCUGAACCAGCCAUGCCGCGUGCAGGAAGACUGCCCUAUUGGUUGUAAACUGCUUUUAUUCGGGAAUAAACCUUAUUACGUGUAAUAAGCUGAAUGUACCGAAGGAAUAAGGAUCGGCUAACUCCGUGCCAGCCGCCGCGGUAA
rnacentral:rRNA from 1 species